rnacentral:sRNA from 1 species
UGAUGGGAAGCCCUUGGAAGCUCUUGAGCGGAGGAGGGACAUGCUCUCCUGGGCUUACUCCUAGCUGCGUAGGAGAGUCUGAGCCGGGCAGGGACAGAGCUGUCGGGGAGUCACUGCGGUGAUACAGCUCCCGUGGAGGAAGGGGCUGGCAGCACCCAAGAACACAGGGAAAGAUGGAGGCGUCCCUCUCCAGUGGCUGGGGCAGGCUCUGAUUCCGCCUCCUGCAUUUGGAGCAGCUGUAAGCUAUCAGGGCCUGGCUGGCUGGCUCCAGGCCUCCCAACGUAACCAGCCUGCCCUGCUAUCCUGGCCUGAGGCUGGCAUUCCUCCCAUGGUCUCUGCAGCACUCAUCAUCGGCGCUCCUGCCGCAGCAUGGGGACCUGGGCAGCCUGAUGGACAAAUAUUGGGCAGGGAGGUAGGGAGAUGCAGUUUCCUGGAUUCGCUUCCCUUUAUUGAAUAGGAAUCUUUGCACCUAAACAAGUCUGUGUAGAGUCCAGAUUGUGCUCUUUGUCCUUGGUCCAGGAGGUCCAUCUCUUUGAGCAUCAGUUUCCUCUAAUGCCAAGUGGAGACAAUAAAUUGCCCUUUCCAGGGUCCCAACAAGGA